GGUGAGUAACACGUGAGCAACCUGCCCCCUACUUCGGGAUAAGCCUUGGAAACGGGGUCUAAUACCGGAUAUGAACGCUUGCCGCAUGGUGGGUGUUGGAAAGUUUUUCGGUGGGGGAUGGGCUCGCGGCCUAUCAGCUUGUUGGUGGGGUAAUGGCCUACCAAGGCGUCGACGGGUAGCCGGCCUGAGAGGGCGACCGGCCACACUGGGACUGAGACACGGCCCAGACUCCUACGGGAGGCAGCAGUGGGGAAUAUUGCACAAUGGGCGAAAGCCUGAUGCAGCGACGCCACGUGAGGGAUGACGGCCUUCGGGUUGUAAACCUCUUUCAGCAGGGAAGAAGCGCAAGUGACGGUACCUGCAGAAGAAGCGCCGGCUAACUACGUGCCAGCAGCCGCGGUAAUACGUAGGGCGCAAGCGUUGUCCGGAAUUAUUGGGCGUAAAGAGCUCGUAGGCGGUCUGUCGCGUCUGGUGUGAAAUCCCAUGGCUCAACUGUGGGCUUGCAUCGGGUACGGGCAGACUAGAGUGCUGUAGGGGAGACUGGAAUUCCUGGUGUAGCGGUGGAAUGCGCAGAUAUCAGGAGGAACACCGAUGGCGAAGGCAGGUCUCUGGGCAGUUACUGACGCUGAGGAGCGAAAGCAUGGGGAGCGAACAGGAUUAGAUACCCUGGUAGUCCAUGCCGUAAACGUUGGGCACUAGGUGUGGGGCCAGUUCCACUGGUUCUGUGCCGCAGCUAACGCAUUAAGUGCCCCGCCUGGGGAGUACGGCCGCAAGGCUAAAACUCAAAGGAAUUGACGGGGGCCCGCACAAGCGGCGGAGCAUGCGGAUUAAUUCGAUGCAACGCGAAGAACCUUACCAAGGCUUGACAUGUACGAGAAAGCCCCAGAGAUGGGGUUCUCUUUGGACACUCGUACACAGGUGGUGCAUGGUUGUCGUCAGCUCGUGUCGUGAGAUGUUGGGUUAAGUCCCGCAACGAGCGCAACCCUUAUCCUAUGUUGCCAGCGGGUUAUGCCGGGGACUCAUGGGAGACUGCCGGGGUCAACUCGGAGGAAGGUGGGGAUGACGUCAAAUCAUCAUGCCCCUUAUGUCUUGGGCUUCACGCAUGCUACAAUGGCCGGUACAGAGGGCUGCGAUACCGUGAGGUGGAGCGAAUCCCAAAAAGCCGGUCUCAGUUCGGAUCGGGGUCUGCAACUCGACCCCGUGAAGUCGGAGUCGCUAGUAAUCGCAGAUCAGCAACGCUGCGGUGAAUACGUUCCCGGGCCUUGUACACACCGCCCGUCAAGUCACGAAAGUUGGUAACACCCGAAGCUC
rnacentral:rRNA from 1 species